rnacentral:lncRNA from 1 species
CCUACUAUUCCACAUGCACACUUAGAGAUAAUUAGGAGAUAAAGAAGAGAUAAUGUUAGGAUAAUUAUACCAACUAAUUGACUUAAUCAAAUCUUUUUAGGCUCAUAAUUAAGAAUCUAAUUAAAUCCAAAUAAAUUUAGAUUAGAUUCAAGGCUAUGGACUUGAUCAAAUUGAAGUCCUAAGAAGAAUUAGGUUUAACUGCGUGCUAGUAUGGUUCUCAUAAACCUAUAAUGAUUUCAAUAAACCCUAAUCCAAUUGAAACUUCAUAA